rnacentral:rRNA from 1 species
GUGUCAGCCGCCGCGGUAAUACGUAGGGUGCAAGCGUUAAUCGGAAUUACUGGGCGUAAAGCGUGCGCAGGCGGUUAUGUAAGACAGAUGUGAAAUCCCCGGGCUCAACCUGGGACCUGCAUUUGUGACUGCAUAGCUAGAGUGCGGCAGAGGGGGAUGGAAUUCCGCGUGUAGCAGUGAAAUGCGUAGAUAUGCGGAGGAACACCGAUGGCGAAGGCAAUCCCCUGGGCCUGCACUGACGCUCAUGCACGAAAGCGUGGGGAGCAAACAGGAUUAGAAACCCUCGUAGUCC